CCAGUCUUUGGAAGGUGUAGUAUUGGGGAGGUUAUGAGAGGCUGAGGGAGGGAGGAAUGAGCAGAGUUGAAUUACAAACACAUUUUCGGGUGCCUUUGCUCCACUCCAUACCAGCGUGGGUUAGGUAAAGGUAGGCGACGGAUUUUAUCCACCAAAUCUCAGCGGGAAAACGGAGUAUUUUCUCAAUGCGAGACUUAUUGAGGAGACUGACUGGAGCACGAGUUGUAGCCUACUCGCGCCUGUCUCACCUGCGUGACUUUUCAGUGUGUCUUUUGGAAACUGCGACCGUAAGCUUUGAUUUGAAAAAAUAGAGCAGAGCCGCAACACGAUAUAUCGGGACAUUGAUUUGAAUUGAAUGGAUCAUUGUGCGCUGAAUUCGUCUAUAUGGGAUGUACUGUGAGUUUGAUCUGUUGUGAGGACGAGUUGUUGGUGCCCCUCGGUCGCUAUGAUGAGAAAGAGAAAGAAGAAUCCACAAUCUUAUCAAAGCCUGAGGAGUUGGAGAGUGUCCACACACACAAUUUCAAGCUUAAGCCCUUCAAGAAAGUCAAGAGCUGUGAUGUAUGUCAGCAGGCCAUCACCAAGGAUGGGCUCAUCUGUAAAGUGUGCAAGCUGGGCAUCCAUAAGAAGUGUGAGGUGAAGGUAAGGAAGCCAUGGAAUCUUUUCUAUUUUAAUAUCCUUGGGCUCCAGAGGAGAGUCAGAGGGGUGGUAUUUUGGCAGAGCCAAACAAAUGGAACCAAAAAGGAAAUGUUGUGUUUGUUAGGAGGCAGCAGUCAUCUCAGAGAGGCAGCUGUGUCUGCCAUGGAGGAGAGCUAUGAGGUGGACCUGGUGUACAUCACCGAGAGGAUCAUCUCUGUCUCCUUCCCCAGCGGAGCGGAGGAGCGCAGCUACACCUCCAACAUCAAGGAGGUGGCCUCCAUGCUGGCCUCCAAACACGGGGAACACUAUCUGCUCCUCAACCUAAGUGAGCGGAGGAAUGACAUCACCAAGCUUAACCACAAGGUGCUGGAGUUUGGCUGGCCAGACCAUUAUGCUCCGGCCCUGGAUAAGAUCUGCAGCAUGUGCAAGGCCAUGGACACCUGGCUCAACGCUGACCAACACAAUGUAGUGGUGCUUCACAACAAGGGGAACCGUGGGAGGACUGGAGUGGUGGUGGCUGCCUACAUGCAUUACAGCAACAUAUCAGCCAGUGCUGACCAGGCACUGGACAGGUUCGCCAUGAGGCGCUUCUACGAAGACAAAGCACUUCCUGUGGGUCAACCGUCCCAGAGAAGGUAUGUACGUUACUUCAGUGGUCUGCUCUCUGGCCACAUCAAGAUUAACAACAAGCCUCUGUUCCUGCACCACGUCAUCAUGCACGGCAUCCCCAACUUCGAGUCCAAAGGAGGUGAGUCUGCAGCAGGAUAUAACGUCCAAGGGGACAGUCACACCAGUAUCUGCAUCACCAUUGAACCUGGCCUGCUCCUAAAGGGAGACAUUUUGUUGAAGUGUUACCACAAGCGUUUCCGGAGCCCCAUUAGGGAUGUGGUAUUCAGAGUGCAGUUCCACACCUGUGCCAUCCACGACCUGGGAGUAGUCUUCGGGAAGAAUGAACUGGAUCAGACUUUUAAAGAUGAGAGAUUUCCAGAAUAUGGGAAAGUGGAAUUUGUCUUCUCCUUCGGUCCUGAGAAAAUCAAAGGAAUGGGCCACCUUGAGAAUGGCCCACAAGUGUCGGUGGACUACAAUACCCAAGACCCCCUCAUCCGCUGGGACUCCUACGAGAACUUCAACAGGGGCUGCGAGGAUACAGGAGAUGACGUUGUUCACACCCAAGGCCCCCUCGACGGCAGCCUGUAUGCCCGAAUCCACAAGAAAGAGUCCCUCGAUGGAGUGGUCACAAUCAACGUGGGCCACGCCUCCCUGCCCGCGGUUGACCACGCCCUGUCGGUCAGCAGCGACUCUGGGAACUCGACAGCAUCCGUCAAAACCGAUCGCACCGAUGACCACAGUCUGUUGCUGCAUGGAGCGGUGAAUACCAACCAGAACCACAACACGCCCAGUCAUCCCCCUCUCAGUCCCCAGGAGAAGAGAGAGUUGGACCAGCUUCUGAGUGGCCUUGAGGCCCCCAUGCUCCACCGCCAGGCUUACCUGGCUACCUCCACCAGCCCCGGGGGGGGAGUUCGCCACCUUGUCCCAGCCCAGGUGCACGUCAGCGGGCAUACCCGGCUCAUUGCAGCCCCCUCCGCCGAAGAGCGCGAGACGGACAUCUUGGACGACGAGCUGCACAUCAGUCAGGAGGGUAACAGCGUGGACAGUCUGGGAACACUGUCGUCAUUGGAGGGCCAGGCCACGCCCGCAGAGCUGUACUACCAAUCACAGAUACCCAUCAACAGGCAGAACGACGGGCCAUACCUAGAGAAGCUACGGGAGAUGCCGGUGCACCGGGUACGGACUUCUACGUCGGCACAGGAGCGGAUCAUGGACUCCAGUUCGCCCCAGGAAGAGGAGUACUCUCCUAACAGUUACCAGAACGGGAGUAUGCAGCGUUCCCAGUCCUUCGGGACCCCCGAGCCUGGAGGCCCCAAGCUGCCCAGGGCCCCUGAGAGGAGCACCAGUAGCAGGGAGGCAGUCCAGAGGGGGCUGAACGCAUGGCACCAGUACAGUCUGCCAGACGACCCGUUCGGUCCUCCCUUACAGAGCACCCACAGUCUGCCCCACUUCCCCCCCACCGCCUCUCAGCACGACAUAGAGCAGUCGAUCGAAGCCCUCGACAUGCUGAUGCUGGAUCUGGACCCACACACAGGACAGGUGCCCAAGUCCUACAGCGCCCCCUCUGGUGAGAACAGUGUAGGAGGGCCAGCCCAGAUCCCCUUCUCCCAAUCUCUGGCCAGGCCGUCCUACCAGGCGGACUCAGCCAUCCACGGCUAUAACAUUAACUACAAUGCCUUCGGACAGCCUCUGAGGUCGAUGAUCCACCCUAAAGUUAUCGUUCUUCCUAAAUACAUUCCUGAAACUGAAGGAAAGCCUUUGGGGAUUCCUGACGCUGUUGUUGGCGUUCCAGGGAUGCGUUCCCGUGGGAUGAUGCCGGAGGAGGCUCAGGAGACCGUCCGCCGUCGGACCACUAGCGAGGGGCACUACCAGAGUUUCAAUGAGGACCCUCCAGCCCACACGGGGGCGCCGGUGCGCUCCCCUGUCCACUCGUCAGACUUCCACAUCCUCAACCCUGGAGGAAGACCCAGAGAGGUACAGUACAUACCCCUAUCCACCCGUUCUCCUCCAGGCUUGGCCAAAACCCCUCUCUCUGCUUUAGGACUGAAGCCCCACCAUCCAGCAGACAUUCUCCAUGGAGGAUCAGGCCAGACGGGUGAGUACUGUACUGUUCCUGGGGCACAGAGUUUGGAGAACCGAGGGGAAACUCUUGAAUUAAGAGGAAUAAAGAUAGUCCUAGGUUACAGCUCAGUGUUUCUCUCUCUCUGCAGCAUGAGGAUGACUUCCUCCAUUCGGCUCCAGGCUGACUCCGGCUUCCACUCCCACCCCUUGGAGAGCGCCCAGCACACCCCCGUUCCGUCCUACGGCCCCCACUCCCCUGAGGGAUCCCAGGUCAGCGUCGUGGGCCCCCUCCACACCGUCCCCGGAAGCCCCAACACACUCCACCGCACGGUGGCCACCAACACCCCACCAAGCCCCGCCCUCCAGUGCCGCCUGGCCAACCAGGCCAGCCCGGGUCUGGCUCGUCACCCCACACCGCCCAAUGGUAACAGGGUGCAAGUCCCCGGCAGCCCUGUGAUCCCCGCAAGAGGCUCCAGAACCGCCGCCGUCCCUGCUAGCCCUUUGAUGGGGCGCCACCCGAUGGCCAGUAGCCACACUACGCCCGAUGACAGACAGGGGGCACCACUCACGCCCUCCUUCCCAGUGUCACCCCAGCCGAUGCUUCCAGAGAAGAGGCGGAUGCCCAGUGGAGAGAGUGUGUCCACCUCUCACACCCUACCCGACCUCUCCAAAUUCUCCAUCUACGGUGAGAGAGGAGGUCCAAUCCUAAAUAACAUCUAUCCAGACAUCAGGCUGAAUGUGAAGUUUGUCCAGGACACGUCUAAGUUGUGGUACAAGCCAGACAUCUCCAGAGAGCAGGCCAUCAGUCUGCUGAGAGACAGGGAGCCAGGGGCCUUCAUUAUCAGGGACAGUCACUCCUUCAGAGGGGCCUACGGCCUGGCCAUGAAGGUGGCCUGCCCACCUCCCACCGCCCAGGCCAAUAAGAAAGUUGGUGACAUCACGAGCGAGCUGGUGAGGCACUUCCUGAUUGAGACGAGCCCCAAAGGCGUGCGUCUGAAGGGCUGUCCCAACGAGCCCUACUUUGGAUGUCUGUCUGCCCUGGUGUACCAACACUCGAUGACUCCUCUGGCCCUGCCCUGCAAGCUGAUGAUCCCCAGCAAAGAUCCCAAUGAGGAGGCCCUGGAGCUGGACACUCCCACUGACACAGUGGCCGAGCUGGUGAAACAAGGAGCAGCAUGCAAUGUUCUUUACAUCAGCUCUGUGGACAUGGAGUCUCUGACCGGUCCUCAGGCCGUCGCCAAGGCAAUCAGCGAAACGGUGGCCGUCAACCCGUUGCCCGCGGCAACAACCGUCCACUUCAAAGUGUCGUCGCAGGGCAUCACCCUCACGGAUAGCCAGAGGAAGGUCUUCUUCCGAAGGCACUACCCAAUCAACACUGUCACCUACUGUGACAUUGACCCCCAGGACAGGAAGUGGAGCAAGGAAGGAGGUGGAACGGCGAAACUGUUUGGUUUCGUGGCACGUAAACAAGGGAGCACAACGGACAACGUCAGCCACCUGUUUGCCGAGUUGGACCCCGACCAGCCUGCUUCAGCCAUCGUCAACUUCGUCUCCAAAGUCAUGAAGCGAUGAAACCAACGAACCCCCGACAGCCAUUCUUUUUUAAUUAAAUUUUUUCUUCAUUUUUGAUUGUGUUUCAUUAUUUUCUUCUGUUCUUUUUGUUGAGAUAUGUUCUCUUUGUUUUCUUCUGCGAGAUUUUAUGUUUGAAGGACUUGGAGGUAAUCCAAGAUGGCGUCAGAGGAAGUUGUGGCUGGAGUGGUGACAGUGACAACGUGGCUCGAGCUGGUGGAGGAAGAUGCUUUCUUCCACAGGGUAACUGUGGAAGUCCAAGUGGAGAAGCUGUGUGCUAAACUAAGUAUCAGUGGGAGGAAAGGACACUGACAUGUAUCAGGUUUUCGGAUUGAUUUACCAAAGGUAGCACUCAGAACAAGUAUGUCAUUAUUAGAUGGUCAGUUUAAGGUGUUGUAGAUUUUCUCUUUUUUUUCUUUUUUUUUUACAAUGGGACUGUUGAAAUGAAACAGACAAAAACAAAAAGAAUGCUUUCUUCUUGAACUUUAUUCUGUCUUCAGAAAAAUAGUUUGCCUCAGUGGCUUCUUACUAAAGAAUAUUUAAGAAGACAUUUUGCAUGUUAGCUCGAUCUUUAAGCUUGGUCCACUAAAGUCAUUUGUGAACCCUCGAGUGGACAUUUCCCAGGCCUGUUGUAUGUUGUAAAGGGCUCAACAGCGAGAAAAAUAAACAGUUCUCAACUUCACA
ensembl:lncRNA